AGAGUGAACGCUGGCGGCAGGCCUAAUACAUGCAAGUCGAACGGCGGCACAGCAGAGCUUGCUCUGUGGGUGGCGAGCGGCGGACGGGUGAGGAAUACAUGGGAAUCUGCCCAGUCGUGGGGGAUAACGUAGGGAAACUUACGCUAAUACCGCAUGCGCCCUUCGGGGGAAAGCCGGGGACCUUCGGGCCUGGCGCGAUUGGAUGAGCCCAUGUCGGAUUAGCUAGUUGGCGGGGUAAAGCCCACAAGGCGACGAUCCGUAGCUGGUCUGAGAGGAUGAUCAGCC
rnacentral:rRNA from 1 species